GGGAAGAUCUGGAAAAGGUCGGCUUCUCCUUCUAUGGCGAAGAGGUGAACGGUCUGUAACGAACGCCGGGCGUUCUGACCGCUCACCUCUUUA
rnacentral:tRNA from 1 species